GUGCCCUCUAAGCAGCAUAUACACUAAAAUUGGAAUAGAUUAUUAGCAUGGCCCCUAAGGAGAGAUGACAUGCAAAUUUGUGAAGUGUUCCAUAUUUUU
rnacentral:snRNA from 1 species